GGAGACUUACCCAAGUGGUUUAAGGGGGCGCUCUCGAAAAGCGUUAGGUGUUUUUGCAUGCGUGGGUUCGAAUCCCACAGUCUCCG
rnacentral:tRNA from 1 species